ensembl:lncRNA
UUACUCCCUAUUUUUUACCCAUCAUAACUUUGUAUCUAUCUGUCUACCCCUCUUUGCAUGUGUAGUGGUCAGUGUGGGCCGGUGGGAGCGUCUGCAGGGGGAGAAGGCUGAACUGGAGCGCAGUUUUGAGCAGGAGCUGAGGAAGCUGAAGGAGGAGCAGCAGAAGGAGCAGCAGGCUCUGCAGGAGCGACUGAGAGAGGAGCAGAGGAAGGAGACAGAGCUUCUGCAGAAACAGCAGAGCAGCCAGCUACAGCAGCUCCGCUCCCAGCACCAUCAUCAGGUGGAAGAGAUGAGUGAGAGCCAUGAGGCGGCCAUGCUGGAGAUGGAGGCAGCCCACAAUGCCACUCUGGCCACUCUUCAGGAGGAGCAUGCCAGGACAAUCAAGAGUGAGUUAAAUCAAAUAUGCCGAUUCUGUUGUUGCUGUUAAUAAAUAAAAGCUCGCUAUUUUU